AGUGCAAACUGUCCCCAGUGGUUUCACCUCUUUUACCUCUUUCACCCUUUUUAAACUUUUAUUUAUAAGGGUGAAGAGUGUGCUAUUUGUUUUAAUUUCUUUGGCAAGGUCUAAUGCAGUUUUAUCCUUGGCAGUUAUCUCUAUGCAGCACUCACUUCUUGACAACAAAGACACAGCAUUCUUUGCUCAGUCUCUGUCCCUAAUUUUGUAACUCUAUUUAAUCCUGUUUCAUUUUUUUCCCCACUCUUGUGCUGAAAAAUAACUCAUUCAGUUUCCAAGAUACUUAUUCUCAAGGAAAUGAGAGACACGAAAGGUUUUAGCCUUAUAGUUUUAAGACUGCCUGAGUUAAAAAUAAUGGAAAACAAAGGAAUUUACAGGAAAUAGGCAAACUUAACAAUAAAUAGCUCUAUGGCUUUUGCCUAGAUUAUUCUAAUUUUUUGUAAUUUACUUGUCUUUUAAGAUAAGUGUAGUGAUUUCCAAAGGUCAGCAUAUAGCCAUGACAACUGAAAAAGACGCACUGUGAGCCCAGUUUUAUUGUUUGCAUUUGCAAGCAGUCUGCAGAGGGUAAAUGCAGAAAGCAGAAAGGUCAGCUUGAUGCUACACACAGAGGAACUGAACCUGAAUUCAGCAUGCAGAUGGUCCUAGUUCAUGCUGCUUUUCUUUUAAAAAAAUAUUGUCAGGAAAAACAAUAUCAUCUUCUUAGUGCUAUUUUAGUAGUCUUAUGUAACAUUUCUUCUUCCAAAAUGUGCAUAUAAAAUAUUAGCUAAAGGAAGAGCCAGUAAUCAGUAAUAUGGGGGAAAAGCCCCAGAAGCUAUUCCCUAGACAUGCACUACCAGUGAGUAAUUAUUACUUAACAGUAAAACUUUACUAAUAUCUAUCAAUCACAUUUCACAAGUGACAUUUUUAUACAUUUCCCACAUGUAUGGAUGCACAGGCUCUGGGAUAAUAUUUUAGGCAUAGUAAGUGAGAACCAGAGUACAAUAAAACCGUAUGUUCCAUUAAUAUCUCCUUCUCAUCUUCCAGGAAUAACUUUCAUACCAUUUAUUGCAGAUUACUAACACUUACUCUCUAUUUCCCCAACCCCUGUGGACAUUGACUCUUUUAUCCUUUUGAAGCUCAAUACUCGUCCCCAUAAUGCCUGAGAAGGAGAAACUGCCUUUGUUUCCAGACAGCACAGCUAUUGCAGAACUUUCAGCCCUCAAACCGCCAUGCCAUGGCAAGUAAACUCACCCGUCCCACUCUCCCAGCAGCUAACCAAGUGAACUCUAACAGAAGAGAGUCGUGGACCACAAUACAUGGUGUUAAAGCAGUAAAUGCAUGUAGUGGGUUGAACCUGAGUUGAUGGACAGUCGUUUAGACCAAUGACACUUCUCACAAUUUACAUAUUUAAACCGCACCGAAAGGCGGGACUUGCCCUUUUUGUCGGAGUUCGCCUGCUGGAAGGUGGGGGGGGCUCCGAGCCUCCCGGCCCCGCUGGGCCGGGCCGGGGCCA